rnacentral:lncRNA from 1 species
GCCAAAACUUGCCCCCGAAAGUUGUGUUUCAGAGCUGAAGCAGACUUUCGGCCGCCGAAGGUGAUGUUCGGCCGCCGAAAGUGCAUGACUUUCGUCUCUGGAGAAAGGGUUCGGCCGCCGAAGGCGCCCCCGAACCUGCAUGACUUUCGUCUCUAGAAGGGACCUUCGGCCGCCGAAAGUGCCCUGUCCAGCCUUUUCAUGAGUGUUCUGUAUGCAUGUUUCCUUGAUGCUUUAAGGGGUUUUUGGGGAGUUGUUUAUGAGUUG